AGUGAACGCUGGCGGUAGGCCUAACACAUGCAAGUCGAACGGCAGCACAGUAAGAGCUUGCUCUUACGGGUGGCGAGUGGCGGACGGGUGAGGAAUACAUCGGAAUCUACUUUUUCGUGGGGGAUAACGUAGGGAAACUUACGCUAAUACCGCAUACGACCUACGGGUGAAAGCAGGGGAUCUUCGGACCUUGCGCGAUUGAAUGAGCCGAUGUCGGAUUAGCUAGUUGGCGGGGUAAAGGCCCACCAAGGCGACGAUCCGUAGCUGGUCUGAGAGGAUGAGCAGCCAAACUGGAACUGAGACACGGUCCAGACUCCUACGGGAGGCAGCAGUGGGGAAUAUUGGACAAUGGGCGCAAGCCUGAUCCAGCCAUACCGCGUGGGUGAAGAAGGCCUUCGGGUUGUAAAGCCCUUUUGUUGGGGAAGAAAAGCAGCAGGUUAAUACCCCGCUGUUCUGACGGUACCCAAAGAAUAAGCACCGGCUAACUUCGUG
rnacentral:rRNA from 1 species